CCAAGGAGUCUAACAUGUGCGCGAGUCAAGGGGCUCGUCGAAACCCAGGGGCGCAAUGAAAGUGAAGGCCAGCCAUCGUCGGGUUGGCCACUCGGUGGGAUCCCCCGUCCCUCGUUCGGCGCGGGGGCGCACCACCGGCCCGUCUCGUCCCGCACGCGUCGGUGAGGCGGAGUACGAGCGCACACGUUGGGACCCGAAAGAUGGUGAACUAUGCCUGAGCAGGACAAAGCCAGAGGAAACUCUGGUGGAAGUCCGCAGCGAUUCUGACGUGCAAAUCGAUCGUCAGACUUGGGUAUAGGGGCGAAAGACUAAUCGAACCAUCUAGUAGCUGGUUCCCUCCGAAGUUUCCCUCAGGAUAGCUGGCACUCGCCGAGACGAAGUUUUUUCCGGUAAAGCGAAUGACUAGAGGCCUUGGGGACGAAAC